ACUCCUACUCCUUGCUCCGCAACAAGACUCUCUACUUCCAUAUCUACUAUACUAGCUGAAGGAUGCUGGGCUAGGGCGGGCUGUGUUUGCUGGCUGAAGCAGGCUGCCAGCUGGUGCCUCUUGUGUGUAAGCAAGAGCCUGAAGUUCUGUGUGGGGCUUUGAAGCCUUGUGCCCUGCCUGACUAUUGACCCCAUGUAGCUUUUCUCCUUUCUUGGCUUCUGCAGGUGGUGGUGUAGUGCUCCUGUUCUGUGGUCCCUGACUCACACUCUUGUUUCCGACUCCAGCAAAAACCCUCUCAGAAGGCCCCUAUGAGGCAAAAGCCUAAAGUGAAGUAGAAGGAUGUCUUAAGAAAUGGACUCACUCUGGUAAAGCCCAUCAUUCAGGUUACCGCUCACUCUUCUCCAGAGCCUGUGAUGCCAGUGGACUUAGUAGUAGCGCCUGCCUUCUUUACAUUUUGAGGUGCCAGAAGAGGGAAAGCACACUGUAUGAAAGAGCCCAAUCUUUUGGAUGGAGAAUGCUUUCUCUAUCCAGCCUCUCACCACUGCCAUAUUCCUGCCUGCCUGCUGGGUCUUCUUAGUCUCUAGCUCAGGCUGGGAGACCUCACUGCCUUGAAUGGAUAUUAUUAUUCCUGAUGGUUAGACCUUUCCUCCUUUCUCUUUACCAAGUCUGUGUUUCUGCCACAUAGCAAGAACUUCCAAGCAGUUGCAAGCUGUGGUCAGUGUCCUAAGAGAAGAAAAGCGUCGGCCUCUUAUCUGUCUCCAGAGUUAUCGCCCUUACUAAGGGUGCUGGUAGUUGAUGAAGAAAGGGUGGAAGGUAACCACUGAGUUAUCUCAGACCCUGCCCUUUUGGAAAUCAGGUAUUAGUCCCCGCACCCCAUCUUAGGCCAUGUGUGUUAUGUAGAAAAUUUGCUUUGGUACCAAAUACAGUGAAACCCAGACAUGUUUGCCGUGAUUCUGGGUUUAUGUUUUUUACACUGAGGACAGAAAGCUUUUGGUGUCCAUGGUCCUUAGGGAAAGCAAUCAUGGGAUUUUGCUGUUGCUGCUGACUGUGUGUGCAUCUUACUUGACCAAAGCCUGCAGGCGACAGACAGCCUCUCACAGCCGGUUCCUUCUGAGGUUCUGGAGCGGCAGAAUGUAUUGUAGUGGGUGGCCACAGAGCGGCAGGUGCUAAGGCCUCUGGUGGAGUGGGCACACAGUGGCAUGGGUCUCUGCAGCCAUCCAUACCUCUGUUUCCCAGUCUGUGUUGUCUGUCAUUCUUCUGAAUUUUGAAUAAUUAGGUUUAUUUAUUACUUUAUUUAUGUUUUUUAAAGCACAUUUCAGAUUGCCUUUGAAACAGCUCCCAUCUGUUUCUCAUAAGGCUUCCCAUCUGCUCUGAGCCACGAAGGCCACCUCUUUUAUGGCGCUAAAGAUGAUUUUAGGGCUUAGAAAAUGAUCAUGUGUGUUUAUUCUAACAUGUCAUCCUGCGAUGCUUGGGAAGUCUGGCCUUUCAGAGAUGGAGGACUCCAACCUAGUCUGUGUUAGGUACAUCUCAGUGCUCCCACUGCGGGAUUCUAAGGUGUGAUGGACGCAGAUCAAACUGACUGGGGAGUCAGAGAUAACUGAGCACCAUGAUUAUGGGACGCCAAAGUCCUUUUCCUCCUCUGACACCCUCUUCAUAAUGUUUCCGUUGGCACCUUCCUUUAUCAUGUGGUUGCCUCACACCAGGCCUCUCUGUCCUACAGAAGUGAUCACCCAAAGAGCAGGAUCUUGCCAGUAGGUGUGGUCAGGAACAAAGGACGCACCCUGUAGCUGUCAACCUGGAAGCAAAGUGUGGGCUGUAUGGCCCGCCAUAGCCUCUCAGUGACCAGUCAGCACCACACCGCCGUUCUCUCGUCAUUGCAGAUGUGCUUUGUAGGGGUACUGGCAAAAGUCUCUGUGCCCUCUGAGAAAUGAGUAAACUGUGGGCAGUGAAGAGCCUUGCUGCUCACCUUGGACUCAGAUGCUGAGCUGAAGUUGAAUCAUGCUUUUACUGACUGAGGGUACUCUCUGUUUGAGAAAACAAAAGAAGCAAAGAAGCACCUCCUUCGGAGCUAUUUCCAAGUCAGUGGCAGUCUCCAUACUUCUCCUGUUUGUUGUGGACCCCUGACCUGCUCUCAGCCUGGGAGCAAGGCCCCUGGGCUUGCCCUGCACUCAGCGCCCAGAAUGCUCCAUCUUUCCUUAGGCUUGUUUUCUUGUAGUGCACAGCAGGAGAGUUGAGGGGCGUCUCAUCUCCCUCUGUACCUGUCACUUGCUGGCUAUGCUGCAGUUAUUGCUUGCUGACCUUUUCCUCACAGGGUGGGUGGGUUGUUUGUCUCAUGAACAUAAAAUGCCUAAGGGACGGCACGUCCAUAGUAUGAUGCAUUCACUACUCACGCACUAAAGUUUUGCAGUAAGAGAACUUGAGAGACAAAGUAUUAUUUACUAAAACCCAGGUAAUUGUGGAGACCACAGAACACAUACCUUGAAGGGUCUAAGAAGUGUCACUUCCUUGAUCCCUCUGUUUUCAAGUUUAAAGAAUUAAACAAUGAAAUAAGUUAUCUGCUUUUAUCCUUGCCCUGCUCUCUAGAGCACAAGUAAAUACUAUGCAGUUAAAGAAGGGAUUUCUAAGAGAGCAGAGAUUAGGAUUCUCUUCCUAAGAGUGGCUGAGUUCUUAAAUUUUUUCAAUUUGUCUAAUUUUGCUACUUUGUUAAGAGACAGGCUUUUUAAAAAGACAUAUCUAAAGUACUAUUUUUCCAACAUCUUAUUAUGGAAACUUUCAGCAAAUAAAAAGCAUACACUUUCAUCCCACAUAUAUUUUUAAAUUACAAACUGCCAGUUUCUAAACCAAGAUUCUAGCAUUUAGUUUUGUCUGACAAGUACCCCCUUGGAGGAUGUCCCCUGUACUGUGUCAGUUCUCUGUUAGGAGCUCUGCUUAUGCAGAUCUCUUUUUCAACAUGGGCUGCCUAAGAGGUCUUCACAAAACUGGCCAUUGGCCUCCAUCUUUCAGAAAGCUAGCUGUAUGUCCCUUCCGGCUGUAGCCUCUCUAACUGCCUAUCGGUGUCAAGGUAAUUGUGUAGCUGUGUUGGAAAGCCUUCCUUCCCCAUCUGUGGCUCUCUGACACAUCCUCAGGACGCUCAUAUGCAAACACACUCCUCAGAUAACGCAUGGACAUAGGUAGUAGCUUGAAAGUAGACUAUUCUUAGGUAUUUUCCUAUGAAUGGAUUCAUGCACUUUAAAAAUAUUUUAUUUGGUAUUUAGGAAAAAUGGACUUUUAAAGAAGUAUAUAUUGUCCCAUUAUAUGAUUACAGACAAGUUAAUCUGUAACUGUCAUAUAUUCAUGGGAUUAAAUAUUAUUGUGGAGUUUAUAAUAUAUACAUUUUGAUUUUG
rnacentral:lncRNA from 1 species